UACGAGGGGGGCAAGCGUUGUUCGGAAUUAUUGGGCGUAAAGGGUGCGUAGGCGGUUUGGUAAGUCUGAUGUGAAAUCUAUGGGCUCAACUCAUAGUCUGCAUCGGAAACUGCCGGGCUUGAGUGUGGGAGAGGUGAGUGGAAUUCCUGGUGUAGCGGUGAAAUGCGUAGAUAUCAGGAGGAACACCUGUGGCGAAAGCGGCUCACUGGACCAUAACUGACGCUGAUGCACGAAAAGCUAGGGGAGCAAACAGG
rnacentral:rRNA from 1 species